rnacentral:rRNA from 1 species
GAUCAUGGCUCAGGAUGAACGCUAGCUACAGGCUUAACACAUGCAAGUCGAGGGGCAGCGGGGUUGAAGCUUGCUUCAACCGCCGGCGACCGGCGCACGGGUGAGUAACGCGUAUCCAACCUGCCUACCACUUGGGGAUAACCUUGCGAAAGUAAGACUAAUACCCAAUGACAUCCCACGAAGACAUCUGAAUGGGAUUAAAGAUUUAUCGGUGAUGGAUGGGGAUGCGUCUGAUUAG